CCCUCUAGGCGGGCGGAGCCUCUGUCGGGGUUGGAGCCGGGAGGAGUGGAGAGGCUGCCCAGUGACAGGCUGAAUUGAUGGAGGGGACUUUGAUGGCUUGGGGUCUACCGCCAGUGGUACUUGUCCCCCAACUCCCAGGGUGAAUGAUUGCCUGUUCCCUUGGAAGACAGAAGGAUGCCCCUGAGACCCCACUCUGCAGGCGGAUUGACUGAGGCUGGAAGUGGGAGGGGCUUGCAGGGUGGUACAGGGGAACAGCCAGCAAGCUUCCCUAGUGAGGUGGGGGUGGGUGGGUGGAGUUGUGGGUUGUGCAGAGCAGUCCCAGUGCCCUGAAGGAGUUUUUUGGGGUAUAUGGGAGUGGUGGCAGUAGACAGUGCCCCUACAGGAGCAGUGGUCCUUUGGGAAUACUUGGCUCUGCCGUGGUUGGGAUGGUGGUGGGGGUCUCCUCUCUACGUGUGUGUUGAGGAGUGCUUGGUUACCAAGGAGCUAGUGCAUUGAAGAGAGCUUUCAACAGUGAAUCUGGAGACUUAGGGCCUAGUACUGGCUCACCUUGCUGUGUGACCUUGGGUAAGAAUAUUGACCUCACCAAAACUCAGUUGUUCCAUUUGUAAAAAUGGAACUUGACAAUCCUGCUCUGUUCCUUUCUCAGGGCAAUGUGAGAACAAUGGGAAAUGAUUUAAGAGGACCACAGUGGUCUGGAAUAGGAUCCUUAGGAGAAGCAAUGUGGAGGAAACCAGGUGCUCAAGAUGUUUGUUGAACUCGAGUGUUGCUCAGUCUUGGGCCAGGCUUUGCUGUGGGGACACUGAGAGGAAUCAAGCUGAGACCUGGCUCUGGGAACCCACUGGUUCAGUGAUUUGCACACCUUUUAAACACAUGCCUCAUUUUGAUAAACAAAGAGCUUCUCCCUUUAAUGUUUAAUCCAGUGAGGUUACUUUCAAGUCCAGAAUUUUAUUUUUGUUUCCUGCUUUGUUUUGCAAAAAAUAUCUUUAAACCAUGAGUGAUCACAUCCUUCCCUCCAAGUUUGGGGUGCACCUCCCACCCCCUCUCCUGCUUAGAGAGGUAAGGUGUAUCCAGGUGAAGACUAAAACUUCUAGGAGCUCAUGGAUGUUCCCCAUAGGCAUUUAUUGCAGGUCUUAUGGGUAGCAGGCAAAGUGCUUGGAUAAAAGAAGGCAGCUCUGUUGGUAAGGUCCUGGGGUAGGGGCAGUCUGGUGAAUGAGGGUCACCAGGUUGGGCAACAUAGCUCAAGGAGAGGCUAUAGGGGUCUGGAAGUCUUCUGGGAGGAGGUGGCAUUUGAGAUGAGCCCAGGAGGGCAGGUAGAGGGGGUUAUUUUGGCUUGAACAAAGACGUCGAAGGGCGAGUGCUGGAGGUUUUGGGAGGUGAGAGGCUCCUCCGGCUGGGGGUUGCCUGACCCCUUCUUUCCCUUCUGCCUUUCCAGGGGCUGGUGAUUGCAGCUGGAAGUGUCCAUGACCGAGCUGGAGUCCUCCGGGGGCGGGUCCCCUGUGGGGGACGGGGAGGAGGGUCUGGGGGACGAGCGAGGCCUGGUCAUCCACCACCCUGCCGAGGAGCAGCCCCACCGCUGCCUGCUGUGCGGCCAGACCUUCUCGCAGCAACCCAGCCUCGUGAGGCACCAGAAGGCACACGCCGGGGCGGGCCGCGCGGCCUCCUUCGUGUGCCCGGAGUGCGGCAAGGCUUUCAGCGUGAAGCACAACCUCGAGGUGCACCAGCGCACGCACACGGGGGAGCGACCCUUCCCCUGCCCCGAGUGUGGCCGCUGCUUCAGUCUCAAGCAGAACCUGCUCACGCACCAGCGCAUCCACAGCGGGGAGAAGCCGCACCAGUGCGCGCAGUGCGGCCGUUGCUUCCGGGAGCCGCGCUUCCUGCUCAACCACCAGCGCACCCACGCGCGCAUGCCCGCGCCGCACCCGCGCCGCCCCGGCGUCUUCGGGGAGCGGCGGCCCUACUUCUGCCCGCGCUGCGGCAAGAGCUUCGCGCGGGAGGGCUCGCUCAAGUCCCACCAGCGCAGCCACGGCCACGGGCCCGAGGGCCAGGCGGCCCACCUAGGCCGCGUGCUAUGACAAGCACGUGGCCUGCCACCCUCAGCUGCCUCCAGGCCCAGAGCGGCGUCUCGGGGCCCUGGAGAUGGAGCUGGGCUGAGGCCCUCUCUCUGGACAGGAUCCCGGGAGAGGGACAACACUGGCUUGGGGUGUCAAGCUCAAGACCCGAUGCAGCUGCUUUGGGCUCCUGCGUUGGUUUUCCUCGGGCUCUUGCAGCCUUAAGCAGGUGAGGCCUGCAGGGCGGCCUG
rnacentral:lncRNA from 1 species